rnacentral:lncRNA from 1 species
UCCUGACCCGAGGGGGGCCCCCACGCCCGCUCUGGCCUCUCAGGUCAGGCCCUCCCCUCCCCUCCCCUCCCCUCCCCCGCCCCUGUGUCUCCGCGAGCCGGCUGUGUGCCUGCGAGAGCGUGCACACCCGCGGGACCUUCCCUUUUGUUCCACCCUGACCUCUACCUUCUCUACCUUGUGCUGACCCCGCUGGGGUGCAGGGGUUCCCUUCGGAGGAGGCCGGGGCUCAAGGUGUGCAGCUCGGCCGCCUCUCCCUAACUCUGCACCAGCGCCUUCUCUCUCUCUCUCUCUCUCUCUCUCUCUCUCUCUCUCUCUCAAGAUCUCCCUCCUGCUAAGUCUGCGCUGCUGCAGGAGGGCUGGGGGAAGGGCAGGGGUGUGGAGAGGGGGUGCCUGGUGUCUUCUUUCUCUCUCUGCCCCCACCAAGUGCGGACGCAUCGAGCUUCGGCCCCCACCCCUGCAUUCGCGAUUGGCUCCCGGAGGAGGUGGCUGGUGCUGCCGCCGCUGCAGCAUCUCCUAGGGAGCCGCGACCCUGCGCCCGCCGCCGCUGCCGCUGUCACCAGCCCGGCCCCAGGGGUGCCCUGGGCUCCGCGGCUGAGGCACCUAGGGAGUUGCCCCCCUAGUGGACGGCCUCUCAGGAGAUCCUGACCACCCUCUGGGAACCUGGACUCCUCCAAGCAUCGUCUUUCUCGCCUGCAUCUUCGGAGAGAGGUGCUGAGCCCUUCCUCAUGGAUACGGGGUCCCGGGAGGCAGCCUUCACCAGGGACCUGCCCAGGAAACCAGCAGAUGCCCAGGUCAGCCCUGAAAUGUCCAUUACUCACAAAGAAAAGGAAAAUGCUCAUUUGAAAGAAAUUCUUCUCUUUGUCAAUGCUGAGGCAUUCUCUCAGCCCCAGCCCCACAGUGCUCCAGUGUGUGAAGGGCAACAGCUGACGGGGAAGUUCAGCACAUCUGUGCUGACCAGGGCUGGAGGCGAUGCCAGUCCGUGCAGCUGGGAACGCCUCCUCUGCUAUGGCUGGAGCCACUGCUGAAGGGACUCCACCUGGCACCUAUGCCACCAAUGGCCCCUGAACGGGUAUCUAGGCCCACCCUUAAUAAAGAUGAGCUGCUCAUUCCCA